rnacentral:tRNA from 1 species
GGGGCUAUGGCUCAGAGGUAGAAUGCUCGCCUACCAUGCGUGAGGCACUGGGUUCGAUCCCCAGUACCACA